AAUUCUCCAUUAUUCCACUUGUUUAUUGGUUGUCUGAAGUCCUAUCAAUGUAGGCAACAAGAUUGAGUUGUUUUGAGGUCAAAUUGAAGCAACUCAGAUCGUGUACCUCAAAAUUCAAUUCCUCAUAUCUCUCAAUAUAUUUGGAAUUAGAUGAAAUUGAGGCCAGAUUCGAGCUCCUGGGCUUUUUCUUUUUAAAAUA
rnacentral:lncRNA from 1 species